rnacentral:tRNA from 1 species
GGGGAUAUAGCUAAUUGGUAGAGUAUACUGCUCAUAACAGUACUUGUAAGUGUUCAAUUCACUUUAUCCCUA